CCCAGAAGGUGAGGAGGUGAAAGGUGAAGGAAACUGUGGGAGGGGACGCUCCGAGGGGGUGGGGCGCCGGAAGUGCGUACGUUCGGGGCCUCGAGACUCGCGAGCGCGUUUUCCGGUCUGGCUGCACUUUGCGUGCUUCGGGUCGUAGUUUCCUCUGCGAGCCGGCGAGGCUAUGGGGCGGGCCUUUGACCUGUUCUCGCUCUCAGCCCGAGCUCCUGGGACGGUGCCGCGCGCCGGGCGUCAGUGUAGGACAGAUGCACAUGGGCCAAGGACAGAAGCACGUCUACUGGCAACCGCAGGACUGUAGAGAAGUGCGGUUAAAACAGCGCUGGGGGGCUCUGCCCCUUCUGCUGGCGGUUCCGCGGCGGAGGGCGGAGGGCCGGUGGCUGCGGAGACUCCGUCCUUACCCCACAACCGGGAAGCAGAUGUUACGCCGCGCGGCAGCGUUGGUGCUGGAUGGGGAGCUGGAGCCUGCAGUGUCCCCAGUGGAGUGCUGCCUGCAUGUCACACGUGUAAGAGUCAAACCUCUGUUCUUUCGCUUUGUUCCCGUUAAAAGCAUUCAUCAUGUUAGGUGACUACUACUCUGGGCCUGGCCCCGUGCCACCUGCAGAAGGAGGCAAAAGGUCAAAUCCAGAAUAUGGAAUUUUCUCUUGCACACUUGAGUCAGUUAUUAGUUAGGGGCUUGGAGGGAAAAUAAAAAGUAGGACGGAUAAUAAAAGAGCAUAAAAACAUAAUGGAGUGGAAUGUGUGGACAUUAUUUGCAUCAUGAUAGAACAAACCAACUGU